rnacentral:rRNA from 1 species
AGCGAACGCUGGCGGCAGGCCUAACACAUGCAAGUCGAACGAACCUUUCGGGGUUAGUGGCGGACGGGUGAGUAACACGUGGGAACGUGCCUUUAGGUUCGGAAUAACUCAGGGAAACUUGUGCUAAUACCGAAUGUGCCCUUCGGGGGAAAGAUUUAUCGCCUUUAGAGCGGCCCGCGUCUGAUUAGCUAGUUGGUUGAGGUAAUGGCUCACCAAGGCGACGAUCAGUAGCUGUUCUGAGCGGAGGAUCAGCCACAUUGGGACUGAGACACGGCCCAAACUCCUACGGGAGGCAGCAGUGGGGAAUCUUGCGGAAUGGGCGAAAACCUGACGCAGCCAUGCCGCGUGAAUGAUGAAGGUCUUAGGAUUGUAAAAUUCUUUCACCGGAGACGAUAAUGACGGUACCCGGAGAAGAAGCCCCGGCUAACUUCGUG